rnacentral:rRNA from 1 species
CUGGUUGAUCCUGCCAGUAGUCAUAUGCUUCGUUCAAGGGCUAAGCCAUGCAUGUCUCAGCGCACAUGGUUCAACAGUGGGUCUGUGAAUGGCUCCUUACAUCAGCAGUCAUCUCCGUGAUAGAGUGUGCAUGGCACCGUCAGCAGGUGCCCGUUUGGACAUCCUCCAAAACCUGGUGGCUAAUACACGAAUGGAACAGUCUGCCACGUCAAGUGGGUUGCCCUCUGGGUGGCCCACUGUGGUGGAUUACAGUCAGCUGCAUGAAAGACCAGUGCCCUGAGUGGCAGUGUCUCUAGCUGACUCAGGCUGAUCCCAGUGGGACGGCCGUGCUGGCAGAGAGGUGGUUCGCCACAGCUUGCUUGAUCACACGAACUUCUGACCUAUCAGCCUUGAUUGUGGUGUAGUGGACCACAAUGGCAGUGACGGGUAACGGAGAAUUUGGGUUCGAUUCCGGAGAGGGAGCCUGAGAGACGGCUACCACUACCAAGGUGGGCAGCAGGCGCGCAAAUUGCCCAAUGCAAAGACAGCUUGCGAGGCAGCAACGAACUGCAGCAAUUCUGCUGGUAUCACUACCAGCUGAACUUGGAAUGGAUGCUAUCCAAACACAGUGAUGAGUAACGACUGGAGGGCAAGUCUGGUGCCAGCAGCUGCGGUAAUUCCAGCUCCAAGGGCGUAUACUAACAUUGCUGCUGUUAAAACACUUGUAGUCUGCCACUGGGUGCAGGUCUGCUGGGUGGCUGGUGGAUGCCGUUGGGAAGGCCCUCGGGCCGACGCUCGGUGUUCGCUGGAACUCAACCCCCGGCAGUAUGUUCCUGUGCCCGCGUCCUCGAUGGUGAGAAUUGCUCCUGCACGAAGUCUCCUUCAGUGGAGGCCAAGGCGGUCUCGCACCCGACGCUUGCCUGGGCAAGACAGGGGCAUGGCCCUGCGCUGUGCAUCAUCCCUGGCCCACCACCGGAGCCCACCAUCAGUGUCACCCUGGAAAACUCAGUGUGCCCAACGCGUCCAGUCUUGGCUGGAUGUCCGUCCAUGGAAUGGCAAAGCAUCGACCGAGUGUGGCAAUGGAGUUGUGCUGGCCUUGGUGCCGACUCUGGAGAAUCUGGGGCUUGUUCCCUGGUGGCCUGCUGGUGCCAAUCCUCGUCUCCGGACUUGGUUGGUGCCACACCAUCCGGUGGCAGUUUCCGAACGAAUCUGAUGGGACUGCUCAGGGUGAAAGGUAUUGCAACGCCAGAGGUGAAAUUCUUAGACCGCUGCAAGACCAACUGCAGCGAAGGCGUUCUGCAAGUGCAUGUUCGUCGAUCAAGAAUGAGAGCGUGGGGAGCGAAGAUGAUCAGACACCGUCGUAGUCCRCUGCUGUAAACCAUGGCAGCUCGGCAUUGAUGGGGCCUGUUCUCGAACCCCACCAGUGCCAUGCCCCCUACAACGAGAAAUCCAAGCCUUUGGGUUCAGGGGGGAGUACUGUAGCAAGGCUGAAACUUAAAGGAAUUGACGGAAUGGCACCACAAGGCGUGGAGUAUGCGGCUUAAUUUGACUCAACACGGGGAAUGUUACCAGGUCAGGACGUUGCUUGGAUGGACAGAUUGAGAGCUCUUUCUUGAUUCUUCGGAUGGUGGUGCAUGGCCGCUCCUGAUUGGUGGAGUGAUUUGUCUGGUUGAUUCCGAUAACGAGUGAGAUCUCUGCCUCCCAAUAGCCCCAGUCUCGCAUCUGUAGGGCGUUCCACAGGCCGACCCUUCACCGGUGUGACGCCUGUUGGUUGCCUGAGAGCUCUGGGAUUCGCUUCUCUGAGGUGCUGUGUCUGCCGCCAAAGGCACGCAUGCUAGAGCCAACAGCAGGUCUGUGAUGCUCCCAGAUGUCCUGGGCCGCACGCGCACUACAUUGACACAGUGAAGGUGUUACGCUCCCUCUGUGGAGCCCUUGCCAGAAGUGGCUUGGAAAUCCUGCAAGCCUGUGCUGUACUGGGGAUAGAUGAUUGCAACUGUCUGCCUUGAACGAGGAAUGCCUAGUAGGCGUGGGUCAUCAGCCCACACCGAUUGUGUCCCUGCCAUUUGUACACACCGCCCGUCGUUGCUACCGAUGACAGCUGGAUAGAGCCAUCAGGAGGCCCUGGGACACUUGUGUCCCAGCUGAAAUUGGGCAAUGUCCAGCUGUUAGAGGAAGCAAAAGUCGUAACAAGGUUGUUGUAGGUGAACCUGCAGAAAGGAUCAAA